UGCGUCAGUGGUGUAGUUGGUAACACGGUCAGCUUGAGGCGCAAGUGCGGAAGGGGUUCGUCUGGACUAUGACCUUGCAGUGUGAGAGAGUCUCGGGCCCCGUCCUCUUGCUGAGAGUGCCCGGUUCGAGUCCGGGCUGCGCCU